rnacentral:lncRNA from 1 species
UUUGAAUCAGUACAACAGUGUUACUCCCUGAAUUAUUACCAUGCUGAGGUGUUUAGAUAGUGUUCCUUUGGAUAGCCUUGACAAUAUAUAAUUAUCAGUCUCCACUUGACAGACUUUUCCCACUGACAUGCUAUUCUUUCCGAGGGACCCUGUUUCCCAAACCUCGGUAUUUUUGCUGUGAGGCUCCAGAAUCCAAGUCAAAUUUAUGUGACAAUGCUUUCCACAUAUCAGUGAAAACUAGGGUAGAGAUUUUUCUUUCAACUUUUAGAUCUGCAAAAUAGUAAAAGUCAUUGCAAAAUGUUUUGUGGUUUGCCAAGAGUAAGGAGCGUUUCUCUCUGGAUGUAGAAAGAGCAACAGGGAAUCCAAAAGAGGAUCCCCAAGUGGUGGCUAGCCUGCCAGAUGGACUUGGACUGCCUGCAGAUGAUACUGAAUUUCUCCUAUUUUUUUUUGUCCCAUAUAUCUCAGGAGUAGCUGCUGCCUGUUUCAGUAGAGGUGGCAUCCAGGGGAACUUCGUUGAUGUCCCUCACAGAUGUCACUGCUGACUCAUAUAGGUUUAGAGUUUCAUAGAAGUUAAGUGGAAGUGAAGAUUCUGACAACUCGGAUUGUUGGUCAUGUUACAGUUAAAGGUAAGUUAAAGGGGAAAAAUACUGACCGAUAAACAUGCACUGAACAGCACUGCAGAGGUAUUAUCAGACAUUUUUGGAAAGUGUGAUGGAAAGGGUUAUGUGACAAACUAGAUACAUGAGAUGAAAUAUUGCAGUGGUUUAGACUGAGGAUUAUUUAAA